rnacentral:lncRNA from 1 species
UAUAAAUUAAAGAUUAAUGUUUCAUGGUCUCAUCUCCACUCUGUAGUAUUACUAAUCUCUUGAAUCUGUCCGGUACCACCACCGCCGAUGGUGGCGAUGAUGGAGUGGAAGAAGAUAGAGACAGUGGUGCGGCCAAUGAAGUGGACACCAACGAGGCUGGGGAUGGACGGGAAAGGAACGAUGGAAUCGUAAGUAGGCGCGCGGAAGAGGUUAUGGAGAGACGCAGAGCUUGUGGAUGCGGAGGGCUAGUGCUCCUGCUUCAAUGGAAAUGACUGGAUCAUGAUUUCGCAAGCACUGUUUGUGAUUUGUCCCCGAAACUGCAGGAGUACCUGAACUUUGUCAAGCACAUCAUGGUGAUGAAGCUACUGUUCCACUAAAGGAGGUCAUACUGUGUUACAUACCUUUUAACUUUUCAUGUCCCUUUUAAGGAAUUAAUCAUUCUGUUCAAAAUUAUGUUUCAGAAGUUACUUGAAUCUUGUAUUGAGCUUCGCCCUCUUCUGAUCACCUCCCACAGCAGACUAAAAGAUAUACUGUUCCUUGAUCUUGCUUUGGCUUCAGCUGUCAAAACAACAUGGAAAGGGGACUCACAGAUCUACAUUUUUCUAACCCACCGGUCAUCAACCCAGUUGAAGUGCAGGGUAUUAUAGCUUCGGUUAAUGAGCUAAUUAGUAUUUUUUUGUGUGUUAUGUACAUACACUACAGAGGCAUCACAAUUGUUGGGCAAAAUCUUGCAACAUAAGAUUUUUGAGAGGAAGGGUGCCAGCAUGGAUUAAAAUUCCCAUGUCAGUUGCGAUACCAUUUGGCCUUUGGAAAGGUCCUAUCAGAAGUAUGUUAAUAAUUAAGGUAUAGCAUAUAAGAUUUCUUCAUUUUACAAAUGUGUGAAGAG